AGCCUGACUGGCUGGCUUAGGCAACUAGGCUAGCCUGCUUGGGCUUUUCCUUCUGGGGAAUCAGGAUGGCCUUCACUGGUUGUCUUGCGGAACCAGGACUUUUACUUUGAAAAAAUUAGAGUGUUUAAGGCAGGCUUACGCUUGAAUACAUUAGCAUGGAAUAAUAGAAUAGGACUUUGGUUCUAUUUUGUUGGUUUCUAGGACCGAGGUA
rnacentral:rRNA from 1 species